GCAUAUCAAUAAGCGGAGGAAAAGAAACUAACAAGGAUUCCCCUAGUAACGGCGAGUGAAGAGGGAAGAGCUCAAAUUUGAAAGCUGGUACCUUCGGUAUCCGCGUUGUAACCUCGAGACACGUUUUCCGUGCGGCGCUAUGGACAAGUUCCUUGGAACAGGACAUCGUAGAGGGUGAAAAUCCCGUACUUGCCAUGGAUGUACCGUGCUUUGCGAUACGUGCUCUAAGAGUCGAGUUGUUUGGGAUUGCAGCUCAAAAUGGGUGGUAGACUCCAUCUAAAGCUAAAUAUCGGGGAGAGACCGAUAGCGAACAAGUACCGUGAGGGAAAGAUGAAAAGCACUUUGGAAAGAGAGUUAAAAGUACGUGAAAUUGUCGAAAGGGAAGCGCUUGAAGUCAGCCAUGCCGCUCAGGACUCAGCCUGGCUUUUGCUUGGUGUAUUUCCUGGGUAGCAAGUCAGCAUUGGUUUGGAUCGUCGGAGAAGCAUAGUCGGAAUGUGGCGCCCUCGGGCGUGUUAUAGCCUUCUAUUGGAUACGACGAUCUAGACCAAGGAACGCAGCGCGCCUUAUGGCGGGUCUUCGGACACCUUCGCGCUUAGGAUGCUGGCGUAAUGGCUUUAAGUGGCCCGUCUUGAAACACGGACC
rnacentral:rRNA from 1 species